ensembl:lncRNA novel transcript
GUUAUAGUUGCUGAGGGUUCAGCAGUGAAGAAGUACCUGCACUCAUGAAGCUUAGAAUAUAAACUUGUGGAUUCUCAUGAAGUCCCUUCCCCACCAGAGCGGUUAAAGAAUUACCAGCUGGCAAGAAUCAGUGCAUAAAGACAGAAUCCCUUAUGGUGAACAUGUAGAGGAGAAUAAAGACGGCACUUGGAAACUCAGUAUGUGAGAAUCUCAGAACGUGGCUUUAUUUUGGAAGAAGGUUGUUAUAGAUGUAGUUAGCUAAGAUGAGACUAUCGUAGCAGGACAAACAUCACAUUAAACAGAGUCAGAGAUUAACAUAAACCCAGGGAUGCUGAAGAAUGCCACCAGCGACCAGAAGCUCGGAGGGAAGGAAGGAGCAGAUUCUCCCCAGUGCCUGCUACAGGAACCAGCCCUGCCGACACCUUGAUUUUGGAUUUUCAGCUUCCAAACUAGGACUGAGACAGAACAAAUUUCUGUUGUUUUAAGUGGCCUACUUUGUGGUACUUUGUUGCAGCUGCCCUAGAAAACAAAUACAUGUGUUGACUGUAGCUUUUACUAAGGGAAGAUGACGUCUUUAGGGCUCUAAAGAUAUUCUUCAUCAAGUUUAGGAAAUAUCCUUCUAUUCCUCUUUUACAUAAAGUUUAUACUAUGUUUGUUAACUAGAAUCACUUCUCAGCAGGUAUAAUUAAUAUGAUCCUACUGUUAUUUUCUCCUUUAUUAAUAUUGUGACAGAUUGCAAGAACCUCAAUAAAAACCUCUCUUUCCUUCCUGUA